rnacentral:rRNA from 1 species
AGUGAGUAGAGUGGCGCACGGGUGAGUAACGCGUAGGUAAUCUACCUCUGGAUUGGGGAUAACUCUGCGAAAGCGGAGCUAAUACCGAAUGGUCUGGCUUUAUUUUGAUGAAGUCGGUAAAGGAUGCCUCUGCAUAUGCAUCUGUCCGGAGAUGAGCCUGCGUCCCAUUAGCUAGUUGGUAGGGUAAAGGCCUACCAAGGCGACGAUGGGUAGCUGGUCUGAGAGGAUGAUCAGCCACACUGGAACUGGAACACGGUCCAGACUCCUACGGGAGGCAGCAGUGGGGAAUAUUGGGCAAUGGGCGCAAGCCUGACCCAGCAACGCCGUGUGAGGGAUGAAGGCCUUCGGGUCGUAAACCUCUGUCAGAAGGGAAGAACGGGCACAGUUCGAAUAGGGCUGUGUUUUGACGGUACCUUCAGAGGAAGCACCGGCUAACUCCGUGCCAGCAGCCGCGGUAAUACGGAGGGUGCGAGCGUUAUUCGGAAUCACUGGGCGUAAAGGGCGCGUAGGCGGCCUGGUAAGUCAGGGGUGAAAUCCCACGGCUCAACCGUGGAAUUGCCUUUGAAACUGCUGGGCUUGGAUCCUGGAGAGGGUGGCGGAAUUCCUGGUGUAGGAGUGAAAUCCGUAGAUAUUCGGAGGAACACCGGUGGCGAAGGCGGCUUCCUGGACCGAUACUGACGCUGAGACGCGAAAGCGUGGGGAGCAAACAGGAUUAGAUACCCUGGUAGUCCACGCCGUAAACGAUGGGUACUAGGUGUUGCGGGUAUUGACCCCUGCAGUGCCGAAGCUAACGCAUUAAGU